UCCAAACUUUUCUCUUUGCCCUUCUCAUC
rnacentral:piRNA from 1 species